GAUAGCCAAAGAUGAUUACUGGAUUAGUGGUGACAUUGUCUACCAGAUGAACCGUUCCUAAUACAGGAUCAUAAAUGCCACCAAAGCGUAUUGCUUUAAAGACAAAUAGUAAGGCGGCAAACCCCAAGAAAAUUAGGUGUUGUCCUAAAAUAAAGCCUAGGGUUUCUGGAUUACUCCA
rnacentral:antisense_RNA from 1 species